GGUAGAUUUUCUGUAUCUCUGACAUAGAGGUAUGACUAUUCGACCAAUCACAGAGCGAGAAGACCUACUGUGAAACUUUUAAUUGAAUUCAGAAGACGCAGGUUAGCGGGCUCGGCAGCUCGGUCGCAGAGGGAUGCACUUACGAAAACUAGAAGCAAUACAGUAAGAAAAUUGAAACCCAUUGCAUUUCAUUCAAUUGAAGCAGCGAGGUCCUGCGCCUGAAGGAUUCCCACUAUGAGCUUCAGGGGAAAAGGGUCAGAACGACCAGUGAAGGACCUACCUGGGUAUCUGUGAAGUUGUAGUCCAAGGAGAACUCCAGCCUUCCCAACUUUUCCUGUUCUUUCUCCUCCUCCUCCCCUUCCUUCUUCACUUCUCCCUCCUACAAGAUUAAAAUAACACCAGUGCAUUGGCAUUUUUUGAAAAGACAGAAGACGCAGCAUGCCACCAGAACCAGGACAACCACAACAAUGGCUCCUACUGCCCACAUGGGAACUGCAAAAGAAAAAUUUGUGUACCAAUUUGUCAGUAUUCACUACAGAAUUGGGGUACUCCUAUUAUGACAAAAAGGAGCGGAUAGCAGACCAGCUGAUGUCCCUUACAUUCAAAGUUACAUACUGUGACAAAAUGUGGGAAAAUCUUGAUAUCCAAACAACAAUAGCGACAAAAUUCCCAACAAAACAAACAAAAAAAUGUGUUUGAAUCUGAUCUUUACUUAGACAACUUUACAAACACUACCCUCUCUAUCAAAGGCUUUGUAGAAGCUUUUUGGUCUGGCCUGUUGGAAUUUUCACAUCUUGAGACUACGUCAAAGAACUCAGAUGAGUCAGGUUACUCCUAUAAUCUAAAUCAGUUCCAGCAAUAUCAUGACCAUAAACUGGCUUCCCCAAGAUUGGAAACACAAGCAAGUUCUUAAUGCACAAUAAAAUCUACAGGGAAACCUGGGGACGGUUUGCUGAGACUGCACCUAGGUCGUCAACUACACGCUUCUCCACAAUCAGAUAAUAACACACUCCGAGCUGGGAGCGCCACUAUUCGACCACAGCCACCAGCACCACUGACGCAGUUUAUCAUUAAGCGCUUUAUUCAAGGCAGUAAUCAGUGGUCGUUAACGAGAAGGGAAAACAGUUCUAAUUUCAUGUUUCUGCCUAGAUUCAAAUAAGUCAUAAGCAGUCUGUCAGUAACUCAGUGUAGGAAUUUUCCCAUCAAAUAUACACUAUCUUGAUCCUUUAAGAAUCAGGAAAAGGUCAAUACAAAUAUGAAAUUAUAUUCAUAUAUUUAUACGACAUCUGUAUAUGGGGUGGAUUCUCUCUUCUGAAAAAUGACCAACGAUACACACUUGUAAUUCAACACGUCAAAAUAAGUUUUGUUUCCGAGAGUUGGCUCACCUGGCAGGUGAUGAAUUUCAUUCAUGAACUUGUCCUUCAUGUGGCUGUAGUCAUGGCCAGGGUGAUGUUCUGGAUGGGAGGGCUCGUGAUGUUCUGGAUGGGAGUGCUCAUGGUGAACCGGCUCUGUUGCUUCCUCCGA